CGCUUGCUCGGCAGGGGGAUGCAGCACUAUAUUAUGAGUGUCGGUUAGCCGACUAUGGCGAUAAACGCUGCACGGAAUAGGCGUAGCGGACCCGGGGGCAGUGCCCGGCGCCUCCACCAAUCCCGCCGAGGCGGGCGCCACCUGCACAAGGGUGGCGGGACUUGGCCCUGCAACGGCGCAGGCCGACUUAAGGGGGCGAAACAGGAUCGACGUGCGUAGUAAAGGUGUGGUUUUCGCUCGGCAUGGUACCACCGUUAUCGGGCCGAAACUAUAGAUGCCAAUGACAAUGAGGCAUUUGCUGUCGCCGCUUAAGGCGUAGGCGGGGUUCGGGAGGCACCUGGCACCAGAAGCCUCCCACC
rnacentral:tmRNA from 1 species